AGCUGUAACACCGUGAAGGUCUGCACCUUCAUUCCUGAAGCCAGUUAGACCACAAACCCACCAGAAGGAAGAAACUCUGGACCCAUCUGAACAUCUGAAUGAACAAACUCUGGACACACCAUCUUUAGGAACUGUAACACUCACCGCAAGGGUCCGUGGCUUCAUUCUUGAAGUCAGUUAGACCAAGAACCCACCAAUUCCGGACACAAUACUAUUGGAUGUAUGUUUGUUUGGUGUUUUCUUUGAAGACAGAAUCAGAGAGGCUCAGCAAAUGCCAGAACUCAAAUUCAAGCGCAACUCUGCCUGAUGGAAACUCAGGUGAUUUCCACUCUGCCUCCACCUGCAUUCCUCAGCACCCUGCAGUUGGUCCCCAGACUCUAUGCUCCAUGCUGCUUGUGUUUGUUGGUUGGCUGGUUUCGUGUUCAUGUGUUCUGGCUUCUUCAUUUUGGGUCUUUACAUCUUUACAUCUCUAUAGCAGUUCUUCCCAUGUUGUGUAGCAGUUGUCUCUACGUGACAGUCUGUCUUGUGAGGUCGAGUUCCCUGAAGGCAGCAAGCAUGUAAUUGGUAAAUUCUCAUCAGUUAGCCAUGUCUGGAACAUGGUAGGUAUUCAAUAAAGGUUUUUGCUCAUUUAAUCGACUGUUCAUUAGCAUUUACUGAACCUCUACUGUGUGUCCAACACCGUAGCAGGCACUGAGGAUGGAGCGGUGGAGAAAAACAGGCAACACACUCUGCACUCCAUCUAGUGUGCAGAAAACAUGCAAAUAGUCAUAUACACCAAAACACUUCACACAACACAGACACUGCUGUAACAUGCAAAUAGUCACAUAAAACACUUCACACAGCAGACUGACACACUGCUGUAACAUGCAAAUAGUCAUAUACACAUGAAAACACUUCACACAGCACCCUGACACCCUGCUAUAACAUGCAAAUAGUCAUAUACACAUGAAAACACUUCACACAGCACAGCGACACAUGGCUUUAACACGCAAAUAGUCAUAUACACAUGAAAACACACAGCACACUGACACGCUGCUAUAACAAAUAGUCAUAUACACAAAAACACUUCACACAG
rnacentral:lncRNA from 1 species